UGCCAGCAGCCGCGGUAACACGGGGGGCGCAAGCGUUACUCGGAAUUAUUGGGCGUAAAGGGCGCGCAGGCGGUCUUGUCCGUCAGGUGUGAAAGCUCGGGGCUCAACCCCGGAAGUGCACUUGAAACAGCAAGACUUGAAUACGGUAGAGGAGAGAGGAAUUCCUGGCGUAGCGGUGAAAUGCAUAGAUAUGACACAGAACGCCAAUUGCGAAGGCAGCUUACUAAGCUACGAUUGACGCUGAGGCGCGAAAGCGUGGGGAGCAAACAGGAUUAGAUA
rnacentral:rRNA from 1 species